CCUGGCUUCUCUCGCUGCUGAUGCACUGUAAUUUGCACCUGUUGAAGGAAUUUAUCUUAAGUCCUGAAGCCUAGCCACUUGAGACAACUGAGAGCAAAUCAUCCGUGGCUUAACAGCAGGCUUUGGAUUCAAGUCCCCUUUUCUCCUGUCGAGGGAAGUGAGUCUAUGAACCGGCCUUCAUCUGAAAGCCACAGCGAAGCACCUCCUAGCCCAAGUCUAGCUGCUGUGUGGCAGCUCCAGCGGUGUGACCUGUGACUGCCCUGCAGAC
rnacentral:lncRNA from 1 species